CCUCUCUCGUUUCCUCUCCCGCAUAACCCUCUCCUUCCGCCUCCGCCGCCACACCCCUCGGGUUUGAAGCCCACACACGCGACCUCUCUCCCAUGUAACCGGCCGGCAUGAGCGUCGCCAGCGGGAGAGCACGCAGCCCACCCCAACAGCAGCGGGGAGCUGGCCUGCCGCCGCCGCCGCCUGCCGCGCCUCGCCGGGGAGGCGACCCGGCGACCGGAGGAGAGGGCACCAUGGCGCGGAAGCAUGGCUGGCAGCUCCCGGCCCACACCCUGCAGGCGGCUUCCGGCGGAGGAGUCUUGUAGUGUUCGUGGAGGCUACGAGGAGGUAGCGAUGGGGAUCGGCUACCGAGCGAGGGCAAGGGCGCCGAUCUCCCAUCUCCUGUUUGUAAUCACCGACGCGGCCACCAUCGACUGGAUCUUCACCCCCUCAGAAGAUGUGCCAUGAGUUGAUGGGCAGCUAGCCGUUGCAAGAGCAUUCAGAGAUAUGAGCUGCUACUCAUACACAGCUCCUACAAACUUACGGAGCCAUUGUUCUCCUACCUGGGAGCGGAUAGGAAGGAUUUGGGUGCCGGCAACGUGGGGCUGAGAAGAAAGGAGGAUGUGUGAGGACAACUAGUGGGCGUACUACAACCGCAGCUGAUUCAUGUGUGUUGUUUGUUCGAUCCAACCCUUCCGUCUGCAGGGCCUGGCGAAGGGAAUGAAGAUGCACACCCUCGGCCACGACUUUGUCCUCUAGUUUUAUGACAGGAAGAUUUUACAUGGUUCAAAUGUCCUGUCUCCUAGCUAUGACAAGGAUUAUAUAUGCCUCCUGUAUGGCAGCUACACUCUUGUAAAUGUCACGGAUGGGAGGGAAGACAAGGAGGGCACAGGAAACAGUCGACGAAACAUGGUUGAAGUUGUUGUUGUUCUGCACCUCAUCCAAACCAUCUUUAGAUGUUGGAAAAGUACAGGCAAAGCGCUCAGCAUUGGUGUGGUCUCUUCGUAUAGUCUCAAGUUGACGCUAUUAAAGAUAGACUUGAUAAAAAAUACAACACAUGUGAUGGCUUUCAUGUGCACGUCAAGUCUAUUGAUGGUUUUCAAGGAGAAGAGGACGAUAUAUUAAUACUAUGAACGGUAAUAUCCAAUUGGAAUGGAGUUGUUGGGUUUCUUGCUGAUAACCAAAGAACAAACAUUACAUGGGACAAGGGCAAGGCUCUGGAUUUUCUGAAUGAAUCGUUAGGAUAUACACAACUGAAGCGAUGACGUCCUGCCGGUGUAUAUUGGCGACGACCGCAUCGACAGGAUCCUGGUGGCCAAGUGCCUCAAGGAGAGCAGCACGUCUUACUCACUCCAGGACCCAGCAGAGCUUUUUCAUGGCCUUUAGACAUUUGAAACGGAGGGAGUAUGAUCCUCCUAUAUUUGUGUGCUUGUAGCUUUGAUCUAUUUUAUGAAUGUGUGCUGUUGCUGUAUCUUAUUUUUCCAACCUAUUGAUCCUGUCACAUGUGCGCCAGGGCAGGCUCUGGUCAGCACUAAGGGAUUUUAGUUAUAAUUCCAUGAGCAAUGCUUGCAUUCA